GGAUGUAAUGGGUGUAGUGGAUGGAUGUUUGGUAAUGAGUGGAUGGGUGUAGUGGAUGAGUGUUUGGUAAUGAGUGGAUGUAAUGGGUGUAUUGGAUGGAUGCUUGGUAAUGAGUGGAUGGAAUGGGUGUAGUGGAUGAGUGUUUGUAGUUAUAGGUCAACACACUUGCACGCACACAUGCUGAUUUCUAGCCUUCUAAUCUUCAAAAACGUCCAUCCUCAUGUCUCCAUGCUUGCACUAUCCAAUCUUGGCCCAAAAAUGCUCCAAAGUGCUCCAAAUAGCACUUUGUUGCCAACUUUGUUAUUUGAACCUACAAACACACGAAAAUAGCUUAAAGUACUAAAAUAACUAGAAUUAAACUAAUUAAAUGCCAAGAAACAAGCUCACUAAGUUGCAUAAAUAUGCUCUUAUCAAAUUCCCUCACACUUAGCUUUAGCUAGUCCUCGAGCAAAACAAAAGAAACAGAACGAAACAAAACAAACAAAACAAACAAAACACAACCUAACCAUCCAACAUUUGCCUCAGGGAUUUCCAAUGCACAUGACAUGUUAAAAAUCAUCAUUCCCAAGAUUUUGGUUAUCUUCACACUUGAGCAUAAACUUAAUCACAGUCACUACUUACUAGUUCACAAUUAACCAAUUAAAACAAUGUUUUGAAUGUAGUAACAUGCCUUAGGGAAUUUGCUCAAUUCCUUACAAGAUACUUUCUAUUUCUCACACACAUUUUCUGACUACACACCCUACACUAGUAUAUGUGAGAAGAUUAAUGUAAACACAAAAGACUAGGACUCACAUAUGUUAUAACAAAGAAAGCAAUUUUCUGGAGUUAUUAAGCAUCUUUAGAUAUGAUCUCAUGAAUGGAAUGCUACUACUUAGAUGCGAGAACCAGUGACACCAUAUGCUCAUACC
rnacentral:lncRNA from 1 species